rnacentral:tRNA from 1 species
GUCAGUGUCGUCUAGUGGUUAGGACGCGAGCUCACACGCUCGAGAUCGAGGGUUCGAUCCCCUCCUCUGAUA